GUCCACGCCGUAAACGGUGGGCACUAGGUGUGGGACCAUUCCACGGUUUCUGUGCCGCAGCUAACGCAUUAAGUGCCCCGCCUGGGGAGUACGGCCGCAAGGCUAAACUCAAAGGAAUUGACGGGGCCCGCACAAGCGGCGGAGCAUGUGGAUUAAUUCGAUGCAACGCGAAGAACCUUACCUGGGUUUGACAUGCACCAGACGCUGCCGGAGACGGUAGUUCCCUUGUGGUUGGUGUGCAGGUGGUGCAUGGCUGUCGU
rnacentral:rRNA from 1 species